CAGUCAUAGAAGCCUGGUGUUUUGAAAUGUUCUGCAUUUCUUUUCCCAUUCUACAGAUUUAAACUACUUCAGAGAACUGCUUCUAUCCCAUGUGGUAGCCCUUUCAAGAUACAGAUGUUACAACUGCAUAAGUGCAGUGUUGAGAGAUCUUUUUUUGCUACAGAGAACAACUGUGUGUCUGAGAAUAAAGUCAAUCUAGAAAGAGUGGAGCCAAAAAUAGAGAAAGUGAAAAGCCCAACAGUGAAUCCUGAAGUUAUCAUGGACAUUUAUAGCAGUAUUAAUUAUUUUGGAGCAAACUCUGAUGGAGCUGUAUAUGAGUCAGCAAUUGCCAUGAAAACACUGCAAAACAAACCACCCCAAAAUUCCCUGAACAGAAGUUUGGGAGAGGACGAACACAUGCCUCGCCUUUUGGCGCUACCCUAAGGUAAGAGAUUCCCUGGGGCCAGGCCAGGAUUCUUUUUACCAGAACCUACGAGUACCCUUCAGAAAAGAAGAGUCAAAAAAGGUGGAGAAAUUCCUCAGAGGACAAGUAGUUAGACAUUAGGCAAACACUGGAGAGAGUAAAGAGGCAGGCAAACAAAUUGCAGAAAUGAAUGGAGUGCUUUCCUUCAAGGAGGAGAAACCAAGAAUGAGCUUUUCAUGUUGAAACUCUAAGAUGCUAGGUGAUGCCAUCUCAGGGCCCUUCACUCAUCUGAUUGUUCUUUUUGAAACCUACAGUUGUGGACGUAAUGGAGAUGGAGAGAAAGGAAGAUAAAGCAAGGGUGAUGAGAAAUGAGGCCCAGCAGAGACAUACUAGGAAGCCACUGUGGAGAAUUUUGUUCUUUUAUGAAAACAGUAUCUUACAAAUGGCUUCUGUUGUCAAAAUUAUACUUGAUGAAUAAAGGAACAAUCAAUUUUAGGCAAUUUCUGAUCUUGUCAAAGCUUUGAAUUUACGUGACGAGGACACCACUAGGCAAAUUCUGAAUGAAUUCCCUGAUUUAUGAACUUAUAAAAUGGUACCGUAGGGAGGAUCAAAAGCACAUGUCUGAAAGCCCUGCCUUCUAGUUAAUGUAGGAGAGUUCUGCAUAAAUAUGCCUGGUGUGCAAAAAAUUAUCAGGGCCUUACAUGGUUGGGGAGAAAUGAAUUAUAUCUCAUACAAGCUUGGAAUGAGAUACUCUCUGAACAUGUACUGUGAGACGGCAUCCAGAUACUCAAGUGCUCUAUUGUAAAACUUGAGUUGAGAAGAAGCCAGAAAGCAACACCAAAACUUCUGUGAUAAGAUGUCAUCUUGUCUUUCCAUUACUCAUUGUUUAAUAACAAUCCUUUAUCAAAUAGUGAAUGUCAAAAUAUUAAAACCUGAUCUGCGAAUUUCUAGUUUAGAAAUAUGAGAGAGAGGAAAACACAGAGCAACAGGGAGCAAGAGAAUGAAUCUGAAAACACAGUAGCUAACAGAUGCCUGGCAGUGUCCAGGCAAACAACUUUAAAAUAGACUUGUAUUCUUACUCGAAUUAAAAAUGCCAUGUGACUUGUUUGUAUUCGAUUAGCUGUUUGCUCCUCAUAGCCAGCCAGGCCAGAACUUCCACCACUACUCUCUUCCUAUGCCAAGUUCCUGAUUAUGUGUUAAGACUGGAGGGUGUAGGGAAUGCUACUUGCCUCCAGCUGGUGCAGAUUAAUAACUGAGACACAGGAACCAUUUGGGAGAAUAAUGAGUCACUUCCUGGUCUAAACAUUAGCUCCAGGCGAUGGUUGACCAAACAAAUACAAAAUCAUAAAGAGGAAAAUGGGGGCUCCCACUGAAUCUUGAAAGAAGAAUAUAGGAGAUAAAUAAAAGUGUAUUUUAACAAGCAGGUAGUAAUUUUAUGGAACUCAUGCCUUCAUGAUUCGGUACAGAGCAGCAACAACAAUGACAACAAACUAGAACAAGGUAAAGGAAUUUUUAAAAGUGGUGGAAUAAAUGGUAAUGGUUUUUCUUACUUAAAACUGUUCAUUAAAACACCAGAAAAAGCAAAAGAAAUGAACAUCUGCCAAAAUGAGCUGGCUAUAAAUUUAAGAUCUACGUUAAAUAAUUGAGUGAUAGCUGUAUUCUUGCCUGCGGUUAAAUUUAAAGGGAACACUGCUAGUAUUUACCAUUUAAGUAUGAUGUCAGUAUUUAGUUCAUAUAGAUAGCAUUUAUGCUAGCUAGGUAUGUUGUAAUCAUAGAAUAUUAAGUGUUGAACACAACUGUUUCUUGAAUUUCAUCAAAUGCAUUUUUGUCAUUUAUGAAGAUAAGCAUAUGACUUUCACCUUUAGCCUAUAAAUGUACCGGAUUGCAUAAGUAGAAUAUUCUAUGGCUCAGCCUACUCCGCUGGACCGUGAUUUGCCCUGACAAGCCUUCAACAACAUCCUUAUGUAAGUUUAGAUCUCCCUGUUAGGUGUCCCCAUUGCACCUUGUACCAGGCCUACCCCAACAUCAGUAAGGCCUGAGGCAAGAAUACAAUGAAGGCCCACACAUCCCAUAUGGCUAAAUAUUCUAAAGCUACAAAUCAAGCUAAACAAACCAUUAAAUAAAAUACAUUCCAUCCUCCUACCUUGACAAAUAUAUCCAUCCUCUAAACCACCUGGAAAACUAGGUUCAAAUUAGAAUUUUCAUAAUCUUCAGAGUUCUGUGCUGCUAGAACAUGCCUUUGGGAGAAGUGGCCCCAGCCCCUUCUCAGUGGUUGUGGCUACUUCUCCUUGCCUUCCCACUCUUGCCUCCAUCCAGAGGUGCAAGUGGCUUCUGCACGACCACACAUUUCAAACUUUGUUCACAACAUCCCCUAAGCAUUGGUGGACAUAUAAGCACAAAUACUAUCUUCAGCAGAAUGGGAAGAGAGAAGUCUGCUCUGGUCUUAGAAGUCGGUUUGAACUGUUGGAACAGGGAAUUCUGGUGUUCAGGCUAACCAGAGGUGUGUCUAGUGAGGGUUGUGGGUUCCAAAUGGGAAUGUCCAGGAAGCUCCACAGAUGCUCAUGGUCUCUUUACCGGAGGGUCAGAAUGGGCUUCUCUGAAACCUGGGGCUAAGGACAGGUCCUUUUUGCUUGGGUCUAAGGAUAGUAAUGCCUUGGACCAUGCAAUCAUAACACCUAUCACAGUUUAUUUUCAGUUCUUUACUCCUUGUUAGACUUUAAAUCCCAUAUUGGUUCUUGGAUCACCAAUUCCUAGCAUAGGGCAUGGCAUCAAUGCAGUGUUUAUAAAUACUUUUGGAAUAAAAAAAAAUGGUAGUAAUUUUCUAAUGG